rnacentral:rRNA from 1 species
CGACGUGGUAACCUAGCCUUGUAGCGGGGGAGUAACUAUUGAAACGAAUAGCUAAUACCGCAUAACAAUGGAUGACACAUGUCAUUUAUUUGAAAGGGGCAAUUGCUCCACUACAAGAUGGACCUGCGUUGUAUUAGCUAGUAGGUGAGGUAACGGCUCACCUAGGCGACGAUACAUAGCCGACCUGAGAGGGUGAUCGGCCACACUGGGACUGAGACACGGCCCAG